GACUUUCCCGGUUGUCCUCCUUCCUCUACCUGAACCCAUGUUCCUCGUGUCCAUUCCUUAUCUCUCGCUUCUUCCCCAUUAUCUUCUCUUUCUCUCUCCAAAACUGUUUCUUAUUUCUAUUUAUACAUCAUAUUCCAAUACUGCGUAUUUCUUUUUCAGGCUAUCAUUUUUCUUUGGUAGCCUUCAUCUCUGCUCUUGACCACAUAGGAUCUGGGAUUUCCUUGCUUUCCCAUCAAGGACUUUGUCCAAUCCUGGGGUUGCAUUUGGAGAUUGGCGUUAUGGGGAUCUGUUGCUAAUCUCUGGUUGAUUAUUAGUGGAAAGGCAACACUGGCGUGG
rnacentral:misc_RNA from 1 species